rnacentral:rRNA from 1 species
UACGGAGGGGGCUAGCGUUGUUCGGAAUUACUGGGCGUAAAGCGCGCGUAGGCGGACCUGCAAGUCGGGGGUGAAAGCCCGAGGCUCAACCUCGGAACUGCCUUCGAUACUGCGGGUCUCGAGUCCGGGAGAGGUGAGUGGAAUUCCUAGUGUAGAGGUGAAAUUCGUAGAUAUUAGGAAGAACACCAGUGGCGAAGGCGGCUCACUGGUCCGGUACUGACGCUGAGGUGCGAAAGCGUGGGGAGCAAACGGGG